UACGGAGGAUGCGAGCGUUAUCCGGAUUUAUUGGGUUUAAAGGGUGCGUAGGCGGAUCGUUAAGUCAGUGGUCAAAUUGAGGGGCUCAACCCCUUCCGCCAUUGAAACUGGCGAUCUUGAGUGGAAGAGAAGUAUGCGGAAUGCGUGGUGUAGCGGUGAAAUGCAUAGAUAUCACGCAGAACCCCGAUUGCGAAGGCAGCAUGCCGGCUUCCUACUGACGCUGAAGCACGAAAGCGUGGGGAUCGAACAGG
rnacentral:rRNA from 1 species